rnacentral:tRNA from 1 species
GCCGCCUUAGCCCAGAUGGCCAGAGCAAGCACUCGUAAUGCGUAGGUCUCGGGUUCGAAUCCCGAAGGCGGCUCCA